rnacentral:tRNA from 3 species
CCGGGAUAGCUCAGUCGGUAGAGCAGAGGACUGAAAAUCCUCGUGU